UACGUAGGGGGCAAGCGUUGUCCGGAAUUAUUGGGCGUAAAGGGCGCGUAGGCGGCCUGGCAAGUGACGGGUGAAAUCCCUCGGCUUAACCGAGGAACUGCCUGUCAGACUGCUUGGCUCGAGACCGGGAGAGGUGAGUGGAAUUCCCAGUGUAGCGGUGAAAUGCGUAGAUAUUGGGAGGAACACCAGUGGCGAAGGCGGCUCACUGGACCGGAACUGACGCUGAGGCGCGAAAGCGUGGGGAGCAAACAGG
rnacentral:rRNA from 1 species